rnacentral:rRNA from 1 species
AUUGAACGCUGGCGGCAGGCUUAACACAUGCAAGUCGAACGAGUGGCGGACGGGUGAGUAAUGUCUGGGAAACUGCCUGAUGGAGGGGGAUAACUACUGGAAACGGGAGCUAAUACCGCAAACCAUCGGAUGUGCCCAGAUGGGAUUAGCUAGUAGGUGGGGUAAAGGCUCACCUAGGCGCCGAUCCCUAGCUGGUAUGAGAGGAUGACCAGCCACACUGGUACUGAGACACGGUCCAGACUCCUACGGGAGGCAGCAGUGGGGAAGAUUGCACAAUGGGCGCAAGCCGUAUGCAGCCAUUCCGCGUGUAUGUAGAAGGCCUUCGGGUUGUAAAGCACUUUCAGCGAGGAGGCGUUACUCGCAGAAGAAGCACCGGCUAACGCCGUGCCAGCAGCCGCGGUAAUAC